UCGGUCCUGUGGAUGAAAGCAUUUAGCUGGGACAGGUCCCUUCUCACCUGCCUCUGCCAUGAGCCUUAACCUCUUCUGUGUGACUCUUUGUCUCCUGGGAGCAGGCCCCAUCGAUGCUGUGAUCACCCAGAUGCCAAGACACCGUAUUAUACAAAGAGGAACCAAGAUGAUCCUGGAAUGUUCUCAGGAUAUGAACCAUUUUGCAAUGUUCUGGUAUAGACAAGACCCAGGACAGGGGCUGAUGCUGAUCCAUUAUUCAAGUGAUGUCAGAAGCACUGCCAAAGGGGAUGUCGCAGAAGGGUACAACGUCUCCCGAAAUGUGAAGGAGGAUUUCCCCUGA